rnacentral:lncRNA from 1 species
ACUUCGAAACGCUAUUCUCACAGGUUCAGCUCUUCAUCAGCACUUGUAAUGGGGAGCACAUUCGAUAUGCAACAGACACUUUUGCUGGGCUUUGCCAUCAGCUAACAAAUGCACUUGUGGAAAGAAAACAGCCCCUGCGAGGAAUUGGCAUCCUUAAGCAAGCCAUAGACAAGAUGCAGAUGAAUACAAACCAGCUGACCUCAAUACAUGCUGAUCUCUGCCAGGCUAUAACUACUCCUGCCAUGGCGGUCAGUCAUAUCAUGUUGGAAUCAUAUAAAAAGUAUAUUUUAGUGUCUUUGAUAUUACUUGGCAAAGUACAACAGCUACCAAAAUAUACAUCUCAAAUUGUGGGUAGAUUCAUUAAG